AACCAAAUAUAGCCUUAAUAAUAGUAAAAACUUUCCUUUAAAGCUGAAGGAAACAGAUACUCGAUUUGCACUUCGAGGUUAUAUAUAUUUCUUGGGAACCCCAGCCGGAGACAACACAUUUGGUACCCACUGAAUAUUGUCUUGUGCUAAGCGGCAGAGCGGUUACCUCCGAGUUCCAUGCUGGGAUGAUUAACCACCAUCUGCACAUUAUAUUGGAGCGUUGUAGUAUCUUUUUUGCUGAGG
rnacentral:sRNA from 1 species